rnacentral:miRNA from 1 species
GGACUUUCUGUUGGACGCAUAU